rnacentral:tRNA from 1 species
GCGGAUGUGGCGGAAUUGGUAUACGCGCACGCUUGAGGUGCGUGUGACUCACGUCUUGGGAGUUCGAGUCUCCCCAUCCGCA